rnacentral:snRNA from 1 species
AUGCUCGCUUUGGCAGCUCACCUCUUAAAAUUGGAACCAUACAGAGAUUAGCAUGGUCUCAGUGCAAGGAUGACAUAAGCAUUCCAUCUAAAAAUAAAAAAAGCAA